CAGGGUCCGAGUUGUAAUUUGCAGAGGAUGCUUCGGCUUCGGCUUGGGUCUAAGUUCCUUGGAACAGGACGUCACAGAGGGUGAGAAUCCCGUAUGUGGCCCUUGCCCCCGCCAUGUGAAGCUCCUUCGACGAGUCGAGUUGUUUGGGAAUGCAGCUCUAAAUGGGAGGUAAAUUUCUUCUAAAGCUAAAUAUUGGCCAGAGACCGAUAGCGCACAAGUAGAGUGAUCGAAAGAUGAAAAGCACUUUGGAAAGAGAGUUAAAAAGUACGUGAAAUUGUUGAAAGGGAAGCGCUUGCAACCAGACUUGCACGCAGUUGCUCAGCCGGUCUUCUGACCGGUGCACUCUUCUGCGUUCAGGCCAGCAUCAGUUCGGGCGGUCGGAUAAAGGCCUUGGGAAUGUGGCUCCCCUCGGGGAGUGUUAUAGCCCUCGGUGCAAUGCGGCCAGCCUGGACUGAGGUCCGCGCUUCGGCUAGGAUGCUGGCGUAAUGGUUGUAAGCGGCCCGUCUUGAAACACGGACCAAGGAGUCUAACAUCUAUGCGAGUGUUUGGGUGUCAAACCCGUGCGCGAAAUGAAAGUGAACGGAGGUGGGAACCUUUUAGGUGCACCAUCGACCGAUCCUGAUGUCUUCGGAUGGAUUUGAGUAUGAGCAUAGCUGUUGGGACCCGAAAGAUGGUGAACUAUGCCUGAAUAGGGUGAAGCCAGAGGAAACUCUGGUGGAGGCUCGCAGCGGUUCUGACGUGCAAAUCGAUCGUCAAAUUUGGGUAUAGGGGCGAAAGACUAAUCGAACCAUC
rnacentral:rRNA from 1 species